rnacentral:rRNA from 1 species
UACGGGGGGAGCAAGCGUUGUUCGGAUUUACUGGGCGUAAAGGGCGCGUAGGCGGCCACCGCAAGUCGACUGUGAAAUCUCCGGGCUUAACCCGGAAAGGUCAGCCGAUACUGCGGGGCUAGAGUGCAGAAGGGGCAACUGGAAUUCUCGGUGUAGCGGUGAAAUGCGCAGAUAUCAGGAGGAACACCAAUGGCGAAGGCAGCUCGCUGGAACGGUACUGACGCUGAGGCGCGAAAGCGUGGGGAGCAAACAGG